UGGGGAAUAUUGCACAAUGGGGGAAACCCUGAUGCAGCGACGCCGCGUGAGCGAAGAAGGUUUUCGAAUCGUAAAGCUCUGUCCUAUGAGAAGAUAAUGACGGUAUCAUAGGAGGAAGCCCCGGCUAAAUACGUGCCAGCAGCCGCGGUAAUACGUACGGGGCGAGCGUUGUCCGGAAUUAUUGGGCGUAAAGCGCGCGCAGGUGGUUUAGAAAGUCUGAUGUGAAAGCCCACGGCUCAACCGUGGAGGGUCAUUGGAAACUAAUAAACUUGAGUGCAGGAGAGAAAAGUGGAAUUCCUAGUGUAGCGAUGAAAUGCGUAGAGAUUAGGAGGAACACCGGUGGCGAAAGCGGCUUUUUGGCCUGCAACUGACACUGAGGCGCGAAAGCGUGGGGAGCAAACAGG
rnacentral:rRNA from 1 species